rnacentral:rRNA from 1 species
CCUACGGGAGGCAGCAGUGAGGAAUAUUGGUCAAUGGUCGAGAGACUGAACCAGCCAAGUAGCGUGCAGGAUGACGGCCCUAUGGGUUGUAAACUGCUUUUAUGCGGGGAUAAAGUUCACUACGUGUAGUGUUUUGUAGGUACCGCAUGAAUAAGGCCCGGCUAAUUCCGUGCCAGCAGCCGCGGUAAU